CCCCAGGGAAAGGAACCCGACCUCUCGAGGUCAGGAAAUUUUCCUCUCCCGAUCCGCCGCUCUCUCGCGCAAAAGCAGCGACCAAGAGCGGGCGCCGCCGUGCCUCCUCCUCCGGUGAGACGCGCCACCACCGGGACUCUUCCUCCGGCGAGAAGGAUAAGCCCUUCUCCUCUUUCCCCUCCUCUCAUCCUCCUAGGGUUCCCGUUCUCCUCCUCUAGGGUUUUCGCCUCCGUUCGGUCUCAUCUCUCGCAUCGCAGGCACAGAAACGCGGCGGUGACGCAGCGGCGCCUCGGCAGCACGGGCGCACAGCACCGGCGGAGGACCGGGGGGAGAUCCAAGGUGGCGCGACGCACCGGCGGAGGAGGCGUUGAGGCGCAGAUCCAAGUUUUGGGGAUCAACAAGUGACAAGAGUAAAGAUUAAGACCAGUUGCACCGAGAUGAUUAUUUGAAAAUUCCAAGGAUUAUAUCUUUUCCACUUAACCUUUGCUUACAUGUGUGUCUAUUUGUGUGCCAACUGUUAAUGAUUGCACAUUAGUUGUUGAAAAGACAUCACACUAAUGUUUUAGCUUGCUUUAUCUGUCAUUUUAAUGUAUGCCUAUGUAAAAUAUUCCAAUCAUCCAAGGUUCAAUUUUUGUAAUUUUUCAUAUUUUGUAUUAGCUGAAUGUUGAAUUUUUCAAAUUAUUUGUGAAUUUUCUGGAUUUUUACCAAA